CAGUUGUCCUGCCAAGGGCAUGGCUGGUUGGCUACGUUCGGAAAGGAUAACCGCUGAAAGCAUCUAAGCGGGAAGCCUGCUUCGAGAUGAGGGCUCCCACCAACUUGAUUGGUUAAGGCUCCCAGUAGACGACUGGGUUGAUAGGCCAGAUAUGGAAGCCCGGUAACGGGUGGAGUUGACUGGUACUAAUAGGCCGAGGGCUUGUCCUC
rnacentral:ncRNA from 1 species